GACGAACGCUGGCGGCGUGCCUAAUACAUGCAAGUCGAACGCUUCUUUCCUCCCGAGUGCUUGCACUCAAUUGGAAAGAGGAGUGGCGGACGGGUGAGUAACACGUGGGUAACCUACCCAUCAGAGGGGGAUAACACUUGGAAACAGGUGCUAAUACCGCAUAACAGUUUAUGCCGCAUGGCAUAAGAGUGAAAGGCGCUUUCGGGUGUCGCUGAUGGAUGGACCCGCGGUGCAUUAGCUAGUUGGUGAGGUAACGGCUCACCAAGGCCACGAUGCAUAGCCGACCUGAGAGGGUGAUCGGCCACACUGGGACUGAGACACGGCCCAGACUCCUACGGGAGGCAGCAGUAGGGAAUCUUCGGCAAUGGACGAAAGUCUGACCGAGCAACGCCGCGUGAGUGAAGAAGGUGUUCGGAUCGUAAAACUCUGUUGUUAGGGAAGAACAAGGACGUUAGUAACUGAGCGUGCCCUGACGGUAUCUAACCAGAAAGCCACGGCUAACUACGUG
rnacentral:rRNA from 1 species